ensembl:miRNA Mir6940 microRNA 6940
AGAGGCAGGGCUGGCUGGAAGGUUUUUCGAGGCUGGCUCAGCACCCCUUACCUUCCGUGCUUGCCCGCAG